rnacentral:rRNA from 1 species
UACGAGGGGGGCGAGCGUUGUUCGGAAUUAUUGGGCGUAAAGGGUGCGUAGAUGGCCUGAUAAGUUAGCAGUGGGAAAUCGAGGCUCAACCUCGUGGAAGCUGGUAAUACUGUCAGGCUCGAGUGCAGGAGAGGUUAACGGAACUCCAUGUGGAGCGGUAAAAUGUGUAGAUAUAUGGAAGAACACCAAUAACGGCGAAGGCAGUUAACUAUGCUGUUACUGACAUUGAGGCACGAAAGCGUGGGGAGCAAAACGG